rnacentral:rRNA from 4 species
AUGAAAUUCUAUUAUACCAAAGGGACUCGGUAAAGGCGAAGGCAGCCCUCUAUGUAAAAACUGACGUUGAAGGACGAAGGCACAGAGCACAAACAGGAUUAGAUACCCAAGUAGUCUUUGCAGUAAAUGAUGAAUGUCAUAGGUUAGAUUAAGCUUUAAUUAAUUAGUUUAUCAGUAAUGAACUAACUAUUAAACAAUAUUUAGUCUAUAAAUGAAAGUGUAAGCAUUCCACCUCAAGAGUAAUGUGGCAACGCAGGAACUGAAAUCACUAGACCGUUUCUGACACCAGUAGUGAAGUAUGUUGUUUAAUUCGAUGAUCCACGAAAAACCUUACCACAAUUUGAAUAUUUUACAGGAGUUGCACGGCUGUUUUCAGUUAAUGUUGUGAAACUGUGGUUUCCAUGAAAUUAACGCAAUCCCUGGCUUUAUUUUUUUUUUAUUACGAUAAAGCAUUUGAUCCAGGAUUUGGAAAGAAAAAGGGGACAAAGACAAGUCAUCAUGGCCUUGAUAUUGUGGGCUAUAGACGUGCCACAUAUUCCUACACAAAGAGAUGCAAAAAUGUGAAUUUAAGCUAAUCUCUAAAAAUAGGAUAUAAAUUUUAAGGAUUAUAGUCUGAAACUCGACUAUAUGAAUAAGUAAUUACUAGUAAUCGUGAAUCACCAUGUCACGGUGAAUUUACCUUGGAUUGGUACUAACCACUCGUCACAUGCUGAAAAGAGCAUGCGCAAUAAGUUUGCUUUCUUGAUGAUCAGUAAAAAGAAUAAGCAGGUUCUAUAUUCUAUUAUUAAG